GGGGGAGUGUUAAGUAUCCCACAUCGUAAAAGGUUGGGCGUGCGGGAGAGUGUUAAGUAUCCCACAUCGGUAAAGCAAAGAGUAAUUAGUCUCCUUAUAUGGACUUCGGCAAUCCUCCCUCAUGCAUCAUGAGCUAGCUUUUGAGAUUAAGUUAGGUGUAAGGUUCAUUUAUUUAUCACCUCGAACCAAAAAUGUCCCACCUG
rnacentral:lncRNA from 1 species